rnacentral:rRNA from 1 species
CCCCAAAAAACGAAAGUGUGACGGGGUUACCCAAAGUGCUUAAUUUUUAAGCUGUGGUAAGUGUGUAAUAUACCUUACUAGAAAGGAGAGGGCAAGGCUGGUGCCAGCCGCCGCGGUAAAACCAGCUCUUCAAGUGGUCGGGAUAUUUAUUGGGCUUAAAGUGUCCGUAGCUUGUAUAAUAAGUUCCUGGUUAAAUCUAAUAGCUUAACUAUUAGUAUGCUAGGAAUACUGUUAUACUAGAGGGCGGGAGAGGUUUGAGGUACUUCAGGGGUAGGGGUGAAAUCCUAUAAUCCUUGUAGGACCACCAGUGGCGAAGGCGUCAGACUGGAACGCGCCUGACGGUGAGGGACGAAAGCCAGGGGAGCGAACCGGAUUAGAUACCCGGGUAGUCCUGGCCGUAAACGAUGCAUACUAGGUGAUGGUACGGCCAUGAGCCGUAUCAGUGCCGUAGGGAAACCGUUAAGUGUGCCGCCUGGGAAGUACGGUCGCAAGGCUAAAACUUAAAGGAAUUGGCGGGGGA